AAUGAACUGUGUUUAUAUAUAUAUAUAUGUUUUUUCUGCAAGGCACUUCAAAAUUUUUUCUUGAAGCAUCAUUCGCUAAUGUUGCAAAGUUGGAGAAAAGGGUUAUCAAACUUUACAUAUCUAGACCAGAAAGGCUUGUAUUUGGAGAUAGCCAAAUCCAACCAAGGCUUGUAAUUUCCAUUGUAAUGAACUACAGCUGCAUUCUCAAUCUCCGUUUGGUUAAGGGCUGGAUCAUAACCAAGUCCCAGGACAUGCCAGGUACGAUCCAGUGGAAAGGUUAGAUUAUAGAAAGUGAUCAAUCCUGGUGGCAAUGUGCCCAAUUUCCAUAGAGUUCUAUCCUCAUUCAGAUCUUGCCAAUGAUGAUAUAUUCCAGUGAUAUUUUGCCUUCUCCACUCCUUCAAGUCAAACAUAUUCAUUCCAAAUGCCCAGCCACAAGCAUUUGGGCUGAAAUUCUCAUAGAUCUUUGGAUUAGAAAAAUUGAGAUACUUAUCAAACCUAUGAAAGCUCUCCUUACAAGUCUCCACUGCACCAUUUACCAUCCCCUUCAGAUCAACAGACCAAAGUGGCGUCAAAUCCUUCUGAACUACAAUAUCAUCAUCCAAAAAAAGGAUCUUAUCUAGCUUUGGGUAAACUUCAGGAAGGUAGAACCUAAGAUGAUUCAGCAUAGACAAAUAUUUUGGAUUCCUAUAUUUGAGAUUAUCAGAUCCAGCAG
rnacentral:misc_RNA from 1 species